UAGUUUUGAAAGAAUUUUAAAAACAGAUACAAAGUUAUUAACAUUUUUGUAUCUUAAUAUUUUAAGUAUAUAGUCAUUUGCUUUGUUCACAGAAAUGUUCUUUUCUACUUCACCGGCCGACUGCAGCGAAUUACCUCCGGAAACUUGUAGUGGGGUAUAUACCAUCCGGCCUAAAAAUGGACCUACUAUGAUUGUAUUUUGUGAAAUGGACACUGAUCGCAGAGGGUGGACGGUAAGCUA
rnacentral:lncRNA from 1 species